rnacentral:rRNA from 1 species
UACGUAGGGUGCGAGCGUUAAUCGGAAUUACUGGGCGUAAAGCGUGCGCAGGCGGUUUUGUAAGUCAGAUGUGAAAUCCCCGGGCUUAACCUGGGAACUGCGUUUGAAACUACAAGGCUAGAGUGUGGCAGAGGGGGGUGGAAUUCCACGUGUAGCAGUGAAAUGCGUAGAGAUGUGGAGGAACACCGAUGGCGAAGGCAGCACCCUGGGAUAACACUGACGCUGAUGCACGAAAGCGUGGGGAGCAAACAGG